CGGACGGGUGAGUAACGCGUGGAAAACCUGCCGUAUACUGGGGGAUAACACUUAGAAAUAGGUGCUAAUACCGCAUAAGCACACAGCUUCGCAUGAAGCGGUGUGAAAAACUCUGGUGGUAUACGAUGGUUCCGCGUCUGAUUAGCUAGUUGGUGGGGUAAUGGCCUACCAAGGCAACGAUCAGUAGCCGGCCUGAGAGGGUGAACGGCCACAUUGGGACUGAGACACAGCCCAAACUCCUACGGGAGGCAGCAG
rnacentral:rRNA from 1 species